GUAAACGAUGAGUACUAAGUGUUGGAUGUCAAAGUUCAGUGCUGCAGUUAACGCAAUAAGUACUCCGCCUGAGUAGUACGUUCGCAAGAAUGAAACUCAAAGGAAUUGACGGGGGCCCGCACAAGCGGUGGAGAAUGUGGUUUAAUUAGAAGCAACGUGAAGAACCUUACCAGGUCUUGACAUAUUCAUUCAGGCUCCAGAGAUGGAGAGAUAGUUAUAUGAGAUACAGGUGGUGCAUGGUUCUUGUCAGCUUGUGUUGUGAGAUGUUGGGUUAAGUCCCGACACGAGCGCAACCCUUAUCGUUAGUUACCAUCAUUAAGCUGGGGACUCUCGCGAGACUGCCAGUGACAAGCUGGUGGAAGGCGGGGAUGACGUCAAAUCAUCAUGCCCCUCAUGACGUGGGGCACACACGUGCUACAAUGGCUGGAGCAGAGGGAAGCGAAGCCGCGAGGUGAAGCAAAACCCAUAAAACUAUUCUCAGUUCGGAU
rnacentral:rRNA from 1 species